GACUCUCGGCAAUGGAUAUCCCAGCUCUCGCAUCGAUGAAGAAYGUAGCGAAAUGCGAUACUUGGUGUGAAAUGCAUAAUCCCAUUAACCAUCGAGUCUUUGAACGCAAGUUGCACCCGAGGCCCCUGAGCCAAGGGCACGCCUGCCUGGGCGUCA
rnacentral:rRNA from 1 species